UAUCUCCAUAUUUUCCUUAUGCUUAUCUUCUUAUAUUCCUUAUCUUUAUCUUCUUAUAUUCCUUAUCUUUAUCUUCUCUUCUUCAUUAUCCUUAUCUUCUUAUCUUCCUUAUCUUUAUCUUCCUUAUCCUUAUCUUUAUCUUCUUAUCUUUCUUAUCCUUGUCUUUAUCUUCCUUAUCUUUAUCUUCUUAUCUUCCUUAUCAUUAUCUUCCUAUCUUCCUUAUCAUUAUCUUCCUAUCUUCCUUAUCCUUAUCUUCGUUAUCUUUAUUUUCGUUAUCUUUAUCUUCUUGUCAUUAUUUUUAUCUUCCUUAUCUUUUGAAUAAUUGAGUACUAAGAUUGAAUCCUUGAAACCUAAGAU